rnacentral:piRNA from 1 species
UGAGAGUGGCGUGGAAUCAAUGAAUCAAU